UACACUCCUACGGGAGGCAGCAGUGGGGAAUUUUGGACAAUGGGCGAAAGCCUGAUCCAGCAAUGCCGCGUGAGUGAAGAAGGCCUUCGGGUUGUAAAGCUCUUUUGUCAGGGAAGAAACGGUGAAAGCUAAUAUCUUUUGCUAAUGACGGUACCUGAAGAAUAAGCACCGGCUAACUACGUGCCAGCAGCCGCGGUAAUACGUAGGGUGCAAGCGUUAAUCGGAAUUACUGGGCGUAAAGCGUGCGCAGGCGGUUUUGUAAGUCUGAUGUGAAAUCCCCGGGCUCAACCUGGGAAUUGCAUUGGAGACUGCAAGGCUAGAAUCUGGCAGAGGGGGGUAGAAUUCCACGUGUAGCAGUGAAAUGCGUAGAUAUGUGGAGGAACACCGAUGGCGAAGGCAGCCCCCUGGGUCAAGAUUGACGCUCAUGCACGAAAGCGUGGGGAGCAAACAGGAUUAGAUACCCCGGUAGUCCC
rnacentral:rRNA from 1 species